rnacentral:rRNA from 1 species
CCUACGGGAGGCAGCAGUAAGGAAUAUUGGUCAAUGGGCGGGAAGCCUGAACCAGCCAUGCCGCGUGCAGGAAGACGGCCCUACGGGUUGUAAACUGCUUUUGUACCGGAAUAAACCUUGAUAUGUAUAUCAAGCUGAAUGUACGGUAAGAAUAAGGAUCGGCUAACUCCGUGCCAGCAGCCGCGGUAAUACGGAGGAUCCAAGCGUUAUCCGGAUUUAUUGGGUUUAAAGGGUGCGUAGGUGGCUUAUUAAGUCAGGGGUGAAAGACGGUAGCUUAACUAUCGCAGUGCCUUUGAUACUGAUGAGCUUGAAUCCACUAGAGGUAGGCGGAAUGUGACAAGUAGCGGUGAAAUGCAUAGAUAUGUCACAGAACACCAAUUGCGAAGGCAGCUUACUAUGGUGGUAUUGACACUGAGGCACGAAAGCGUGGGGAUCAAACAGGAUUAGAUACCCUGGUAGUCCACGCCCUAAACCGAUGAAUACUCGAUGUUGGCGAUAUACGGUCAGCGUCUAAGCGAAAAGCGUUAAAGUAUUCCACCUGGGGAGUACGCCGCAAGGGUUGAAACUCAAANAGAAUUAGNGNGNGAGAGNGCGACGACGACACGAGGGAGGAGG